GUGCCAGCCGCCGCGGUAAUACGAAGGGUGCAAGCGUUACUCGGAAUUACUGGGCGUAAAGCGUGCGUAGGUGGUGAUUUAAGUCCGUUGUGAAAGCCCUGGGCUCAACCUGGGAAUUGCAGUGGAUACUGGGUCACUAGAGUGUGGUAGAGGAUAGUGGAAUUUCCGGUGUAGCAGUGAAAUGCGUAGAGAUCGGAAGGAACAUCUGUGGCGAAGGCGACUAUCUGGGCCAACACUGACACUGAGGCACGAAAGCGUGGGGAGCAAACAGGAUUAGAUACCCCGGUAGUCC
rnacentral:rRNA from 1 species